AUUGAACGCUGCGGCAGGCCUAACACAUGCAAGUCGCGCGGAUGAAAGGAGCUUGCUCCUGGAUUCAGCGGCGGACGGGUGAGUAAUGCCUAGGAAUCUGCCUGGUAGUGGGGGAUAACGUCCGGAAACGGGCGCUAAUACCGCAUACGUCCUGAGGGAGAAAGUGGGGGAUCUUCGGACCUCACGCUAUCAGAUGAGCCUAGGUCGGAUUAGCUAGUUGGUGGGGUAAAGGCCUACCAAGGCGACGAUCCGUAACUGGUCUGAGAGGAUGAUCAGUCACACUGGAACUGAGACACGGUCCAGACUCCUACGGGAGGCAGCAGUGGGGAAUAUUGGACAAUGGGCGAAAGCCUGAUCCAGCCAUGCCGCGUGUGUGAAGAAGGUCUUCGGAUUGUAAAGCACUUUAAGUUGGGAGGAAGGGCAGUAAGUUAAUACCUUGCUGUUUUGACGUUACCAACAGAAUAAGCACCGGCUAACUUCGUG
rnacentral:rRNA from 1 species